rnacentral:tRNA from 1 species
GGCCUUGUAGUGAAGUUCAUGUUGAGUUGCAAGCUCAUCGAUGUGUACGAGAGUGCGCCGGGGCCU